UACAGAGGUCUCAAGCGUUGUUCGGAUUUAUUGGGCGUAAAGGGUGCGUAGGUGGCGAUGCAAGUCUGGUGUGAAAUCUCGGGGCUCAACCCCGAAAUUGCACCGGAUACUGCGUUGCUCGAGGACUGUAGAGGAGAGUGGAAUUCACGGUGUAGCAGUGAAAUGCGUAGAUAUCGUGAGGAAGACCAGUGGCGAAGGCGGCUCUCUGGGCAGUUCCUGACACUGAGGCACGAAAGCGAGGGGAGCAAACAGG
rnacentral:rRNA from 1 species